UGUUCUAGAUUCUAGAUUCUGGGUGCUAACAAGUGAGUGGGGAUUCUAGGGCAAGGAGGUGUUGAGUCCUAAUUUCACACAGGACAAGAGCAGGAAGAAGGCAGCCCAAGGAUAACAAAAUGUCAGAGCUGACAGACCAGAGAUACCUGUCACACUUCUUGGAUUAACUUUUCCAGCUCAGCGGAUGGUACCACAGCUUUCCAGAACAAGGCAAAAAGUGAGGAGACCUCCCUUCCUGUAUGAGCUCCCACUUCCCAACAACCUGACAGUCCUUACAGGACCUUCUAGGACCAGAUCCUUCUCACCAAGGCUCACACCUUGGUCUCCACUACAUCUGAAGAGGUUACAAGGAAUUCUGGGUAAGUGCCAUCACCCUGCAGCUUUGUAGACUGUCCUCUACCUCAUUCCCCAACAACCAUGGCGAUGUACAAAGACAUUAAUUACAUACCAAAGAGAGGAGGAUGGUCAGAAUUUCGUGGCUGUAUAAAGCUGGAUAUAUAAUUAUACAUGAAACACCAUGUCAUGCAAGGACAAAACUUAAUUCUUUAAGAUCCACCACCUAAACUCCCACCUAGUAAUGAGUUACCCCUACUCACUGGUGCAGCUUUGGCACAAAUGCCAUGGCUGGAACAAGUUACUUUCUAAGACUGCUCCAUGAGAUGGAACUAAGACCUGAAUCGUUAAAGGGGCCAAGAACCCAGGGCUAAAUAGGUCAUAGGCCCUAGGGAGAACCAAAUACUAUAUUUUGCUUACAGGCAUACCAUUAAAACAAAUCCCAUUGAACAGAUCAUCUCUCAACCAUCAUUAAAGAAGUUCCUCCUUGCAGUAGACGGCAAUUAACAUAGAGAAUAAGAGACUAUAGUGUGCUCAGCCCUAAAUUAGACAUACUUGCCACACCCUUCCCCCAAAGUUCAAGGCUUCCGUUUUCAUGGAAGAGGGGCCAGAAACAGAUGACAUCAGGGAGACAGUGUUUCCCAUACACAGCUGGGCAACUGCACAAAUGAAUGCACAGCUAGUUAUUGUGACAGUGUGCACAAGGCCUGCCAAGCUCUCCCCAGACAAAGUCCUGGCACGGAUGGUAGAAAGUGGGCACUGGAUCCCAUCCCUAGCUGAGGAGCUACUGGUGUCGAGAGCUUCUGGGAAAAAAGAGUCAGUUUUGUUAAUGGCCCUCAUAAGGUGACAACCACUUUCCAGGGCAGCCCCACUCCAGAGCCUGGCUGGGCAACACUGAACUUACAGAAGAAAUUCGUUAAAAAAAUUAAUAAUAAUAUUUCAAAGUUAUGUAGGAAGGGAUGAAAGGGUAGAGGGUGAUUACAGAAGGAGCUGGGGUAUGUGAAUAUGUUCAAAAUAUAUUGUAUGAAAUUCUCAAAGAAUAAUACAUUUUAAAAAAAUACCCAGCAGUGAACAAAUAAGGAAAAAGAGGGAGGCAAGGAUUUGCUUUGCCAAAACUAGCCUGGGACAAAUUCCCCCCAGGCCUCUAUCUAGUCCAGAGGCCCUGAAUCUGCAGGGAGAUUCUAAACCACUAUCAGCAACAGUGUCUACAGACGGUGUUAAAGAAAGCUCCCAUGUAGUACCUGAAGGCCCCGUGUGUACACUAACCACUUUGAGGCAUCUUCCUUUCAAACAGACUGUAGAGACUGUACAGGUCAGGCCUGGUCCUUAAUGUACUUCUGCUCUGCACCCUUCCUGAUGCUCCUCCUGAGGUCCCUGUCACACAUCUGAGGUCCUUACAGUCGUCCUAAGGACUCUGUGGAAGCCCAGACCUGCCUGUCCAAGCCACCUAGCCCCUCCCUGGACUACUAAAGGCACACAAACUCUCUGCAUCUGUCCCCUCAAACAGGAUUCCUGGGAGGAUGGACAGUGCACUCUGUCCUCCAACCACACUCAUCCCUGACAGAGGUCUGCCUUUACCCUUCUGCUGUUUAUAUCAGCAUCCAUACAUGAUAAAGCAACCUGCUAAAUCCAAACUGGCCUGUUACUGAGGCUGGCCACCAGUGUGUACAGCAUGCCCUUCCCACCAAGGGCUGCACGCACUCAAAGGCAAGAAUCCAUUCAGGCGUGUCUAGCAUGUCCAGCUCUCCUGUCCCCACCCCACAAGCCUGCAAGGCACCAAUGCCAUCUCUUAGACCUCUUUAUGAACUCCACCCUCAGAUAACCGCUCCAUCUAAGGAGUGCCAGCCUGCUUCUGGUCUGCAGUGCUCAGGCUUCUGAAACUUUUUCCUCCAGGCACUUCUCUUCAGUUAGAAUGUUCUGUACACAACCCAGAGCUACUACAGGGCAGAGAGAGCAAUGGGUAGAAGUCAGUCCUUCAAGAGCCAAGCAAUGUGGUCCCAGCUGGACCCCUGGAGAAGGAAGGAUAUCAGUGCUACAGAGACAGUGUCCAGUAGAGAAUCCGGGAAGAGACUUGCAUGGGGCCCUCUACACUGCAGUCCAAGUGCAUAUUACCAUCCUUGGCCUAGGAGCCCACCAAAGGACAUAUGUGGACCAGCAUUUGCUUUCAGACUUGCUCCUGCUGGCCUCCUGCCACUGCCUGAUGUCAGCGCUGCAAUGCUCUGUCAAUAGGGCAAGCCAUGGCAGGGCAAGUCCCCUUCAGAAGGAGGCUAGAGAAGCAGAGUGGUCAGACGUCUGAGAAGAGCCGGUGUCGUGAACCUUUUCUGCCCUGCCUUCUAGGAAUCCUAGCCACCUUCUGGUGCAGCUUGCCCCAGACAUCCAGACAUGGAGAGCCUUUGGUCUGAACCGCUCUCCACCUCAGACAACAGGCCUUCUGGGCAACACAAGGCGCUCUGUAUAGCCCCAUUGGGAAGUCAGUGGCUUUUGCACCUUUGUGAGUUGAAUCCUGCCUGGGAAGACAAGAACACAGACUGAGCAACCCCAACCUGGAUAUCUGACAUUGGAAACGCUGCAAUCUCUAAAGUCAGCUCAACCAGUCUGGUUUACCUAUGCAAGCAUUUCAAAGAUGAUAGACUCCAAAAUGUGAAAAAUUCCUGGUUCCAAGCAUUCCAGGAAUGGUUGGCCAUACACAGGCUGAUGAGAGAGGCAGAAAUAUCUUCCAGAAUAUCUCUGAGAGCAGAGAAAGCAAGUGACAGCGAGAGAGAGAAGGGAGGGGGCUGAGGGGCUCAGCAGUUUUGAGAGUGUAGCACUCCUCCUCGAGGACCCCACCUAUGGAUCUCAGCACUCAUGCAGAGUGACUCACACUGCCCAGGACUCCAGCUCCAGGCCCUCUUCUGGCCUCUCUGGGUACUGCAUGCAUGCACAUACACACACACACACACACACACACACACACACACCUUUUAAAAGAGAAAGGAGGGUGAAGAGCAGAUGCAUGGCAGCCUGCACAGGGAAUAUUUUUCCAUGAGAGAACCCCAGAGCCCUUACAGAACUUCGCAAGCUAUCACUGGGACACACAUAACUCAUAUGUUGUGUUUUAUGAAUGUUCACAAUGCUCACGCAUUCACCUGAUUUAGGAUUGACUUUCCAGGAAAGAAUCUUAGGCAGUUGAUGUCAUUAUGACAGUCCAUGAAGACACCCAGGAGGGAGGCGAGGAAAGUUAGUCAGCAGCCUUCUUGUUGGGAGGAAUCAGGACUGAGAAGCACCCAGCAAGCAGCUCAUUCCCUAUUGCGUGAAGUUCAAGUUCCCCACUGAAGGCCUGGGUUUCAGAACUCUCACACAGUCCUGCUUCUGUUCGGCCUUCUCUUCUCAUCUGGAAGCCCUGCCCUUUAUUUUAGUAAUCAUCAAAGAGGAGAACCUAGAAGUGACAAUAACUUUUUCAAUAUGAGCAAUAUUUAUGAACACCUUGGGCUUAGGUGGUUGGUAGCACAUCUCUGUACCGCAUCUCAGGGCUUGGACAGAGUGUCCUUACUGGAUUUCUAUCGUUUGGCAGCAGAUCAUUGGAAGAAGGAUGCUAUCACAACUGACCCCUGGAUUGACCAGUCAAAGGAAGAAGGCUUUUGUUAUUUUUGUGUGCAUAGAUGUGCUGCCAGCAUGUACGUAUAUCUGUGUGCUGCUUGCAUGCCUCCUGCCCAGAGGUUAGAAGAGGAUCCCCCAGGAUUAGAGUUACAAAUGGUUGUGAGCUGCCAUGUGAGUGCUAGGAACCAAAUCUGGGUCCUCUAGAAGAGCAGCCAGUGCUCUUAACUGCUGAGCCAUCUCUCCAGCCUCAACAUGAAGCAUAAAAAGCAUAAUAUUUACAAAUAUGAAACCAUGAGAGUCAAUAAAGUAAAGGAUUCUACAACUGGGUUCUGACCACCAGAAACUAGUCAGCAUUCCUAAGUGAGAGUCGGUCGGUCCCAAGCGUGAGAGGUGCAUUAGACACAGCUAACCCAACACUCGGAGCUUUUUGGAGAACAAGCCCAGCCCACAAGGCUGAGCAAGGGCAAUAGAGAAGGUUUUUUUGUUUUGUUUUGUUUUUUUUAUCAUAGCUACCCCAGUUCAUCACUCAACAUCUGGAAAAUAAGAUCACACCUUAGUUAAAGAAAGUGCUUUGGCUGGGCAGUGGUGGUGCACGCCUUUAAUCCCAGCACUUGGAAGGCAGAGGCAGGUGGAUUUCUGAGUUCGAGGCCAGCCUGGUCUACAAAAGUAAGCUCCAAGACAGUCAGGGCUAUACAGAGAAACCCUGUCUCCAAAAAAAAAAAAAAAAA